UGGUGGUUGCCUUGUCAGGUUGAUUCCGGUAACGAACGAGACCUCAGCCUGCUAAAUAGUCAGCAUCGCACCUGCGGUGCGCCGACUUCUUAGAGGGACUAUUGGCGUUUAGCCAAUGGAAGUAUGAGGCGAUAACA
rnacentral:rRNA from 1 species